AUUGAACGCUGGCGGCAUGCCUUACACAUGCAAGUCGAACGGUAACAGGUCUUCGGAUGCUGACGAGUGGCGAACGGGUGCGUAAUACAUCGGAACGUGCCCGAUCGUGGGGGAUAACGAAGCGAAAGCUUUGCUAAUACCGCAUACGAUCUACGGAUGAAAGCGGGGGAUCUUCGGACCUCGCGCGGACGGAGCGGCCGAUGGCAGAUUAGGUAGUUGGUGGGAUAAAAGCUUACCAAGCCGACGAUCUGUAGCUGGUCUGAGAGGAUGAUCAGCCACACUGGGACUGAGACACGGCCCAGACUCCUAGGGGGGGCAGGAGGGGGGAAUUUUGGAAAAGGGGCGCAAGCCUGACCCAGCCAGGCCGGGUGCAGGAUGAAGGCCUUCGGGUUGUAAACUGCUUUUGUACGGAACAAAAAGGUGCCUUUUAAAAAAGGGCGCUCAUGGCGGGACCGAAAGAAUAAGCACCGGCUAACUACGU
rnacentral:rRNA from 1 species